rnacentral:rRNA from 1 species
CCUUUGACGUUAGCGGCGGACGGGUGAGUAACACGUGGGUAACCUACCUAUAAGACUGGGAUAACUUCGGGAAACCGGAGCUAAUACCGGAUAACAUUUGGAACCGCAUGGUUCUAAAGUGAAAGAUGGUUUUGCUAUCACUUAUAGAUGGACCCGCGCCGUAUUAGCUAGUUGGUAAGGUAACGGCUUACCAAGGCGACGAUGCGUAGCCGACCUGAGAGGGUGAUCGGCCACACUGGAACUGAGACACGGUCCAGACUCCUACGGGAGGCAGCAGUAGGGAAUCUUCCGCAAUGGGCGAAAGCCUGACGGAGCAACGCCGCGUGAGUGAUGAAGGGUUUCGGCUCGUAAAACUCUGUUAUUAGGGAAGAACAAACGUGUAAGUAACUGUGCACGUCUUGACGGUACCUAAUCAGAAAGCCACGGCUAACUACGUGCCAGCAGCCGCGGUAAUACGUAGGUGGCAAGCGUUAUCCGGAAUUAUUGGGCGUAUAGCGCGCGUAGGCGGUUUCUUAAGUCUGAUGUGAAAGCCCACGGCUCAACCGUGGAGGGUCAUUGUAAACUGGGAAACAUUGAGUGCAGAAUAUGGAUAGUGGAAUUCCAUGUGUAGCGGAUGAAAUGCGCAGAGAUAUGGGAGGAACACCAGUGGCUAAGGCGACUUUCUGGUCUGUAACUGACGCUGAUGUGCGAAGCGUGG